CGAACGUUGGCGGCGUGGAUUAGGCAUGCAAGUCGAACGAGAAAGCACCCUUCGGGGUGUGAGUAGAGUGGCGAACGGGUGAGUAACGCGUGGGGAACCUGCCCUUGAGUGGGGGAUAACGUUUCUAACGAGACGCUAAUACCGCAUGAUACAGGAACCGGGCAUCCGGAUCCUGUCAAAGGUGGCCUCUGAUUAAAGCUGUCGCUUGAGGAUGGCCCCGCGUCCGAUUAGCUAGAUGGUGAGGUAACGGCUCACCAUGGCUCCGAUCGGUAGCCGGCCUGAGAGGGUGUCCGGCCACACUGGGACUGAGAUACGGCCCAGACUCCUACGGGAGGCAGCAGUCGAGAGGCUUCCGCAAUGGGGGAAACCCUGACGGAGCGACGCCGCGUGGGUGAGGAAGGUCUUCGGAUCGUAAAACCCUGUCAGGAGGGACGAAAACCGCAUUGGCUAAUACCCUUUGCGCUUGACGGUACCUCCAGAGGAAGCUCCGGCUAACUCC
rnacentral:rRNA from 1 species